AAAAUUUCAAAAAUGCCAUUUUGUAUUAUUUUUUUAAAAUGAAUAGGCCGCAGUUUAGUGUAGAACCGCGGCCUAUUCCCCCUUUAUGCCGCGGUUAAGUGUAAGGAGAAGAGAAGAGAAGGGUAGUCUCGGCCUAGGGUUUUUAGGAGAAGGAAGACUUGUGUGAAAAGUAAAGGGUCCUUAAUUUUUAAUUGGAGGGAAUAAAUGAAGAUAUUUAGAGUAAGGGAAAGGGAGAAUGAAUAGAGAGUAGUGUAGUAAGGGCUCACGGGUUUCUGUUUUGCAUGGGUAGAGAGGAGUGAAAGAAGGGAGAAGGCGUGAGGGUUGAUAGAGAGUUAGAAGGCAGAAAAAGGUGUUUGGAAAAAGAAAGGAAAUAAGGAAGAUGAAUGGGAAGAUGCAGUGGUGUGUGUGGAAAAGCCAAGAUGAUAAUAG
rnacentral:lncRNA from 1 species